rnacentral:rRNA from 1 species
AAUGAACGUUGGCGGCGUGGAUUAGGCAUGCAAGUCGUACGAGAAUCGUAGCAAUACGAGGAAAGUGGCGGAAGGGAGAGGAUUACGUGGGAAUCUACCCUCAGAACUGGGAUAGCGGCGGGAAACUGCCGGUAAUACCAGAUAAUGUCUGUGGACCAAAGGUGUGAUUCCGUCUGGGGAUGAGCCCACGUCCUAUUAGCUAGUUGGCAGGGUAAUGGCCUACCAAGGCAAUGAUGGGGAGCGGGUGUGAGGGCAUGACCCGCCUCACUGGGACUGAGAACUGCCCAGACACCUACGGGUGGCUGCAGUCGAGAAUCCUCGGCAAUGAGCGCAAGCUUGACCGAGCGACGCCGCGUGCGGGAUGAAGGCCUUCGGGUUGUAAACCGCUGUCGUAGGGGAGCAAGAGAUGAGGGUACUCCCUCUGAUUUGAGCGAUCCUAGGAGGAAGGACGGGCUAAGUUCGUGCCAGCCGCCGCCGUAAGAC